CGGAGUGUAGCUCAGCCUGGUAAGAGCGCUUGCUUUGGGAGCAAGAAGUCGCAGGUUCAAAUCCUGCCACUCCGACGA
rnacentral:tRNA from 1 species